rnacentral:rRNA from 1 species
UACGGAGGGUGCAAGCGUUGUCCGGAUUUAUUGGGUUUAAAGGGUGCGUAGGUGGCCCUAUAAGUCAGUGGUGAAAGUCUGCAGCUUAACUGUAGAACUGCCAUUGAUACUGUAGGGCUUGAGUACUGAUGAGGUAGGCGGAAUUGAUAGUGUAGCGGUGAAAUGCAUAGAUAUUAUCAAGAGCACCGAUUGCGAAGGCAGCUUACUAAGGAGUUACUGACACUGAGGCACGAAAGCGUGGGGAUCAAACAGG